GAUCUCAGAGGUCAACAUCCGACGGCGCGAUGCGUUCUCGGAUGCCACUUUA
rfam:Bartonella quintana JK 73 genomic scaffold adkfV-supercont1.1, whole genome shotgun sequence.